rnacentral:rRNA from 1 species
AACGAACGCUGGCGGCAGGCCUAACACAUGCAAGUCGAACGCUCCGCAAGGGGAGUGGCAGACGGGUGAGUAACACGUGGGAAUCUUCCUGUUGGUACGGAAUAGCUCAGGGAAACUUGGGGUAAUACCGUAUAAGCCCGAGAGGGGAAAGAUUUAUCGCCGACAGAUGAGCCCGCGUCUGAUUAGCUAGUUGGUGAGGUAAUGGCUCACCAAGGCGACGAUCAGUAGCUGGUCUGAGAGGAUGACCAGCCACACUGGGACUGAGACACGGCCCAGACUCCUACGGGAGGCAGCAGUGGGGAAUAUCGGACAAUGGGCGCAAGCCUGAUCCAGCCAUGCCGCGUGAGUGACGAAGGUCUUCGGAUUGUAAAACUCUUUUGCCAGGGACGAUAAUGACGGUACCUGGAGAAUAAGCCCCGGCUAACUUCGUGCCAGCAGCCGCGGUAAAAC